AGCAGCCGCGGUAAUUCCAGCUCCAAUAGCGUAUAUUAAAGUUGUUGCAGUUAAAAAGCUCGUAGUUGAAUUUCGGGGUCUGUCCGUCGGUCGGGCUUCACGCUCCGUACUGGUGUGAUGGGUUCCUACCUUCUGAAUAACCGGCAUGCCAUUCAGUUGGUGCGCCGGGGAAGCAGAGCUAUUACCUUGAAAAAAUUAGAGUGCUUAAAGCAGGCUAGUGCUUGAAUAGAUUAGCAUGGAAUAAUAAAAUAGGACGGCAUGGUUCUAUUUUGUGGUUUCUAGGAUCACCGUAAUGAUUAAUAGGGAUAGUUGGGGGCAUUAGUAUUCAAUUGUCAGAGGUGAAAUUCUUAGGAUUUAUUG
rnacentral:rRNA from 1 species